rnacentral:rRNA from 1 species
GUCUACGGCCAAAUCACCCUGAAAGUGCCCAAUCUCGUCUGGUCUGGAAAGCUAAGCAGGGUGAGGCCUGGUUAGUACUUGGAUGGGAGACAGAUCUUCAGAGGAGACUGGUCAGAGACAAGUACUUUGGAGACA